GGCUUGUUGGUCAGAAGUAUGAUUCUCGCUAGUUGGUGCGAGAGGUCCCGGGUUCAAAUCCCGGAUGAGCCC